rnacentral:rRNA from 1 species
GAAGAAAGAGGGAGGCGUGCUUAACACAUGCGAGUCGAACGGAAAGGCCCUGCUUUUGUGGGGUGCUCGAGUGGCGAACGGGUGAGUAACACGUGAGUAACCUGCCCUUGACUUUGGGAUAACUUCAGGAAACUGGGGCUAAUACCGGAUAGGAGCUCCUGCUGCAUGGUGGGGGUUGGAAAGUUUCGGCGGUUGGGGAUGGACUCGCGGCUUAUCAGCUUGUUGGUGGGGUAGUGGCUUACCAAGGCUUUGACGGGUAGCCGGCCUGAGAGGGUGACCGGCCACAUUGGGACUGAGAUACGGCCCAGACUCCUACGGGAGGCAGCAGUGGGGAAUAUUGCACAAUGGGCGGAAGCCUGAUGCAGCAACGCCGCGUGCGGGAUGACGGCCUUCGGGUUGUAAACCGCUUUCGCCUGUGACGAAGCGUGAGUGACGGUAAUGGGUAAAGAAGCACCGGCUAACUACGU